GCUGUUCAGGAGGAGGAACACUCAGGGAGAAGCAGUGGCUCAUUGGCAGCCCUAGCUGCAGGAAGGAAGGCAAAGCCAGACACGGGCACAGGCACAGCAGAUGCAGCCGGCACCACAAGACCUGUUCCCAAUGCCCAGGAUGGCCUCGGAAGGGGUUUCUAUCAGGAAACAGGCUACUGGCUAGCAAUACUGGCAUUUAUGUUUUGUUUGGAGCUUGUCUUCGUGUUGUGCUUGUUUGGAAUCCGGUAUUUGGAAUCGGGAAGAGAAAACAGAGCACCUCGGGACAGGAGUUUAAAGACGGUGGCUGCACCUCACACCCAGAGAGCGUGAGCAGCUCCUCCAGCAGCAGGAAUGGCCCGGACAGCCCUCUCAAGUGUUCUGUGAAGAGGACCCCAGAAGAGCCGUCGACAAGGAAGCGUCUUAUUGCCCCGUAGUUCCCACUGCCACCUGCUCUCCCCAUGGGCCUCCCCAAGCUUCCUUUAUUCCUUUUUUUCUCUCCGUCUGUCCCAUCCCAGCCAACCCGAGUUCCGCUAGGGACCCCAGGACCAGCCCAGCACCUUCCAGCACAUCCUGAGACCAACACAUCCCUUCCUCUGCCCCUGAGCCCCCUGGCCUUGCCCUCUAGGCAACACUGAAGGUUGUGGAGGAUUUUGUGAACAGCUGGCUAGCUAACAAAGGUCACACUGACAUAAUACCGUUAAUUAAGCAAGAAGGAGACGAGGAUAGGAGUCAGCAGUCAGUGUCCAAACCUGGCAAGGGCACUGUGCCCUUGGUGCAACAUCAGGAUGGAUCGUUAGUUAGAAACAUGAAGAAAAUAUGUAAACAGCUGCAGCAUAGUAGCCUCAAGAAUGAUAAGGUAGGCGUAGUUAGCUGAUAAGUAACUAACCAAUAAUGAGCUCGCUUUUUGCAAUAUGUAUUAGCCUCAUUAACACCAAUAUAAAUGUAUGUGCCUAUCAAUAAAGUUUUGAGAUUUGCU